rnacentral:ncRNA from 1 species
CCGUUCUCAUUGGGGUGCGUUUUGCUGAGAAAUACCCAUAGAACCUGAUCUGAGUAAUAUCAGCGUAGGGAUUUGAGACUGCCUUUCAG